rnacentral:rRNA from 1 species
AAAAAAAAACUCACUAAAAGAAAUGGAAAAAAAAAAA